rnacentral:rRNA from 1 species
GUGAGGAAUCUUGGACAAUGGGCGCAAGCCUGAUCCAGCCAUGCCGCGUGAGUGAUGAAGGCCUUAGGGUUGUAAAGCUCUUUUGCCGGGGAUGAUAAUGACCGUACCCGGAGAAUAAGCCACGGCUAAAUUCGUGCCAGCAGCCGCGGUAAUACGAAUGUGGCGAGCGUUGUUCGGAAUCACUGGGCGUAAAGAGUACGUAGGCGGCUUGAUAAGUCAGGAGUGAAAUCCCCAGGCUCAACCUGGGAAUUGCUUUUGAAACUAUCUCGCUAGAAUGUCGGAGAGGUUGGCGGAAUUCCAAGUGUAGAGGUGAAAUUCGCAGAUAUUUGGAGGAACACCAGUGGCGUAAGCGGCCAACUGGACGACUAUUGACGCUGAGGUACGAAAGCGUGGGGAUCAAACAGGAUUAGAAACCCGAGUAGUCC